CAGUCGCCGCGGUAAUACAGAGGGUGCGAGCGUUAAUCGGAUUUACUGGGCGUAAAGCGUGCGUAGGCGGCUUUUUAAGUCGGAUGUGAAAUCCCUGAGCUUAACUUAGGAAUUGCAUUCGAUACUGGGAAGCUAGAGUAUGGGAGAGGAUGGUAGAAUUCCAGGUGUAGCGGUGAAAUGCGUAGAGAUCUUGAGGAAUACCGAUGGCGAAGGCAGCCAUCUGGCCUAAUACUGACGCUGAGGUACGAAAGCAUGGGGAGCAAACAGGAUUAGAUACCCCUGUAGUCCCUGUCUCUUAUAC
rnacentral:rRNA from 1 species